GACCAUCUAGGUCGUUUCGAAUUUGAAGUUUUGAUUAUUUUAACUCUAUUUGGAGAUUUGUAUUUUGUACUUUAUUAAUGGAUCACCACUAUUAAUAUUUUGAGGUUGUUAAUGCUUUGUUUAUUUAUUUUGAGGUUUAUUGUGCUUUGAACGUGACCUCCCUUUCCUUUUCGAGAAGGGGGUGUUACAGAGAUGGUAUCAAAGCUUAGGUUAUUUAUUGUAGAAAACCUAUUUAGGUUUAACCUGUGAGUUGUGGGUAAAUCACUGGGUAGACGUAGGAGUUUGAUUCGAUUUUAUUCUCUGUUUGGUUAGUCUUGAUUUUGACCAAGUGUUUUUAGCUCUUUGAGUUGUAGUUGAUUUGAAAAAGGUGAGAUAAUUUGUUAAGAUUAUCAUUGUUAUGCGUUGGAGCAAUGAUAUUAGUUAAUAAUUGUGAUUGACUCAUUGAGGUGAAUAAAGUUAUACUUUGUACAGAUAAGAAAUGAUCUUAUAUGGGAUGCGAUUAUGAUGUGAAUAUUUGUAUCGACGAGUAUUUGAUUUUAGAAAAUUAUUUGUUAUAGUUAUUUUUUUUGUGACAAUUAUUAUGAUUUUGGAAUUGAGGAUUUGAUUUGGGUUAUAUUCUGAUUUUUGUUAAGUUGUGAAUAAUUUGAGGUAUGUGAAUCGGUGGGAUAAUAUGAUUAAAUGAAAACUAUUAAGUACAAAGGAUCUCUUGUAAUUUUGUGUUGUUGUAGAGAUUCGAGGUAAUUAGAUUAAUCUUUUGAAGUAAAUGAAUUUUGCGAUUAUUUCCUAGUAGAAUAUUGGAAUUAUCUUAUAUGAAAUUUUGAGUAAUAGUAUGAGGAGAUCUUGGAAUUUAUUGGGUUAAGAUUUGCAUUAAGAGAAUGAUUGAUUCAUUGAAUGAUUAGAUAUAUAAUAAGUGAUGAAUCUUUAAGAGAUUUUGAAAGCUAUAGUUUGCUUAUUCAGAUAGUAGAAUAUAUGAUUUGGAGUUUGGUAUGAUGAUGAAGAGAUCUUAGUAGUAAUAUAUUUUUG
rnacentral:lncRNA from 1 species